rnacentral:rRNA from 1 species
GAUGAACGCUGGCGGCGUGCCUAAUACAUGCAAGUCGUGCGGAAAGGCCCUUCGGGGUACUCGAGCGGCGGACGGCAGAGUAACGCGUAGGAAUAUACCCCAAAGUGAGGGAUAACUGCUCGAAAGAGUAGCUAAUACCGCAUGUGAUCUUCGGAUUAAAGCUUUAUGCGCUUUGGGAAUAGCCUGCGUUCGAUUAGCUAGUUGGUGAGGUAAUGGCUCACCAAGGCGACGAUCGAUAACUGGUCUGAGAGGAUGAUCAGUCUGACUGGAACUGAGACACGGUCCAGACUCCUACGGGAGGCAGCAGUGGGGAAUAUUGGACAAUGGGCGCAAGCCUGAUCCAGCCAUGCCGCGUGGGUGAAGAAGGCCUUCGGGUUGUAAAGCCCUUUUGUUGGGAAAGAAAUCUUGCCGGUUAAUACCUGGCGAGGAUGACGGUACCCAAAGAAUAAGCACCGGCUAACUUCGUGCCAGCAGCCGCAGUAA